rnacentral:tRNA from 1 species
GAUUUCGUAGAGUAGUCGCUAUCACAUCUGUCUAACACACAGAAGGUCGGCGGUUCGAGUCCGCCCGAGAUCA